GGAGAGAUAGAAAGAGGGAGAGAAAGAGGCAAAAGGAGAAAGGGAGAGGAGAGAGUCUAACAAAGGAGAGCAAGAUAGGAGAGAGGGUGAGAGAAAGAAAGAGACAAGAGAGAGAGGGAGAGACAGAGAAAGAGAAAAACAGAGGGGGAUGGAGGAAAAGGGAGAAGGUGAGAAACAGAGGAGAGAGAGGGAGAAAGACAGAGGGAGAGACAGAGAAAGAGAAAAACAGAGGGGGACGGAGGAAAAGGGAGAAGGUGAGAAACAGAGGAGAGAGAGGGAGAGACAGAAAGACAGAGGGAGAGAGAGACAGAGAAAAACAGAGGGGGACGGAGGAAAAGGGAGAAGGUGAGAAACAGAGAGAGAGGGAGAGACAGAGAAAGAGAAAAACAGAGGGGGACGGAGGAAAAGGGAGAAGGUGAGAAACAGAGAAGAGAGAGGGAGAGACAGAAAGAGGGAGAGACAGAGAAAGAAAAACAGAGGGGGACGGAGGAAAAGGGAGAAGGUGAGAAACAGAGGAGAGAGAGGGAGAGACAGAAAGACAGAGGGAGAGACAGAAAGAGAAAAACAGAGGGGGACGGAGGAAAAGGGAGAAGGUGAGAAACAGAGGAGAGAGAGGGAGAGACAGAAAGACAGAGGGAGAGAGAGACAGAGAAAAACAGAGGGGGACGGAGGAAAAGGGAGAGAGUGAGAAACAGAGGAGAGAGAGGGAGAGACAGAAAGAGGGAGAGACAGAGACAGAGAAAAACAGGGGGACGGAGGAAAAGGGAGAAGGUGAGAAACAAAGGAGAGAGAGGGAGAGACAGAAAGAGGGAGAGACAGAGACAGAGAAAAACAGGGGGAUGGAGGAAAAGGGAGAGUGAGAAACAGGGAGAGAGUGAGAAACAGAGGGAGAGACAGAGGGAGAG